CCCUAGGGGUUUAACCCCUCUGAAGGUCCGUCGAAGACUACGACGUUGAUAGGUUGGGUGUGUAAGUGCAGUAAUGCAUUGAGCUUACCAAUACUAAUUGACCGUGAGGCUUGACCAUAUAAUAG
rnacentral:rRNA from 1 species